rnacentral:rRNA from 1 species
CAGUAGCCGCGGUAAUACGUAGGGUGCAAGCGUUAAUCGGAAUUACUGGGCGUAAAGCGCACGCAGGCGGUCUGUCAAGUCAGAUGUGAAAUCCCCGGGCUUAACCUGGGAACUGCAUUUGAAACUGGCAGGCUAGAGUCUUGUAGAGGGGGGUAGAAUUCCAGGUGUAGCGGUGAAAUGCGUAGAGAUCUGGAGGAAUACCGGUGGCGAAGGCGGCCAUCUGGCCUAAUACUGACGCUGAGGUACGAAAGCAUGGGGAGCAAACAGGAUUAGAUACCCCGGUAGUCCCUGUCUCUUAUAC